UGUUGAGGGCUUCAAGACGUGCGUCUUUGACGUCGAGACGUAAAACACGCGGUUUGUUAUAUUACAGUUCUGUAAAGAAACUCUAUCUCGGUUUCGCAACUGAAUGUGGUUAGGUUGGAGAAGGAGAUAUUUAGAUAAUCUUUAGGGAAAACGCGGAGGAGUCAAGCUGAAACUAAGAAAGUUGCGUUCGACGCUCAUUUUAUCCCCCCACCCCCGAUCUGCGCAUGGCCAAAAUGGCUGCGUCGCGACGUCACCCCCAUAAGCACAAAAGCUCAUUUAAUGCAAUGUUUUGCUUGUAAUUACAAGCUUUAGGUAAUUGAGACGCGCUGCUGGCUACCAAUUACUGAAUAAGUGGGUGCAAAUCUCAAAUUCUGGCUUUCGACUAACAAAAUCUAUACCUUUAUUUAUUGUUGUUCGACGCUGACCGGCGACGCGGCGAUCAAUCAAUUUGUUGAACUUUAAUAAACGUCCCUGUUUUUU